AGCUCCAAUCGUGUAUCUUAACGUUGUUGCAGUUAAAAAGCUCGUAGUUGAAUUUCUGGGGGGGUGUUUCAAGGUACGUCCUGAUUCUGCCCCCUCAUCCGCUUUGGAACCAGGAUGGGUAUUUAGUUAUCGGCCUGGGGAAGGGGCAUUUUACUUUGAAGAAAUUAGAGUGUUCCAGGCAGGCUUUGCUUGAAUACAUCAGCAUGGAAUAAUGGAAUAGGACAAUGUUCAUUUUAUUGGCUAUUGAACUUGUAAUGAUUAACAGGGACAGUUGGGGGCAUUCGUAUUCAUUUGUCAGAGGUGGAGUUCUUGGAUUAACUGAAGACGAACUAAUGCGAAAGCAUUUGCCAAGGAUGUUU
rnacentral:rRNA from 1 species